rnacentral:pre_miRNA from 1 species
GGCUCAAAGUUGAGGUAGAUUCGUUUAGUGGGGUCAGCCAAUCCUACUGAUCUACUCUACUUCGAAUUUGGGCCU